UACGUAGGGGGCUAGCGUUGUCCGGAUUUAUUGGGCGUAAAGAGCGUGUAGGCGGCCAGGUAGGUCUGCUGUGAAAACUCGAGGCUUAACCUCGAGAUGUCGGCGGAAACCAUCUGGCUAGAGUCCGGAAGAGGAGAGUGGAAUUCCUGGUGUAGCGGUGAAAUGCGCAGAUAUCAGGAAGAACACCCGUGGCGAAGGCGGGUCUCUGGACAGUUCCUGACGCUGAGGCGCGAAGGCCAGGGGAGCAAACGGG
rnacentral:rRNA from 1 species